rnacentral:rRNA from 1 species
UACGAACUGUGCAAACGUUAUUCGGAAUCACUGGGCUUAAAGGGUGCGUAGGCGGCUAUCUAAGCAGGGUGUGAAAGCCCCCGGCUCAACCGGGGAAUUGCGUUCUGAACUGGAUGGCUGGAGUGAGAUAGGGGUGUGUGGAAUUUCCGGUGUAGCGGUGAAAUGCGUAGAUAUCGGAAGGAACACCUGUGGCGAAAGCGGCUCACUGGACCAUUACUGACGCUGAGGCACGAAAGCUAGGGGAGCAAACAGG